UGAACCUGCGGAAGGAUCAUUACCGAGUGCGGGCUGCCUCCGGGCGCCCAACCUCCCACCCGU
rnacentral:rRNA from 1 species